rnacentral:rRNA from 1 species
UGGGGGAUAUUGGACAAUGGGGGAAACCCUGAUCCAGCGAUGCCGCGUGAGGGAAGAAGGUUUUCGGAUUGUAAACCUCUGUGGACAGGGACGAUAAUGACGGUACCUGUUUAGAAAGCCACGGCUAACUACGUGCCAGCAGCCGCGGUAAUACGUAGGUGGCGAGCGUUGUCCGGAAUUACUGGGUGUAAAGGGAGUGUAGGCGGGAAGGCAAGUCAGAAGUGAAAAUUAUGGGCUUAACCCAUAACCUGCUUUUGAAACUGUUUUUCUUGAGUGAGGCAGAGGCAAGCGGAAUUCCUAGUGUAGCGGUGAAAUGCGUAGAUAUUAGGAGGAACACCAGUGGCGAAGGCGGCUUGCUGGGCCUUUACUGACGCUGAGGCUCGAAAGCGUGGGGAGCAAACAGGAUUAGAUACCCUGGUAGUCCACGCCGUAAACGAUGAUCACUAGGUGUGGGGAGUUGAACCUUUCCGUGCCGGAGUUAACACAAUAAGUGAUCCACCUGGGGAGUACGACCGCAAGGUUGAAACUCAAAGGAAUUGACGGGGGCCCGCACAAGCAGUGGAGUAUGUGGUUUAAUUCGAAGCAACGCGAAGAACCUUACCAGGUCUUGACAUCGAGUGACGAUCCCAGAGAUGGGAUUUCCCUUCGGGGCACGAAGACAGGUGGUGCAUGGUUGUCGUCAGCUCGUGUCGUGAGAUGUUGGGUUAAGUCCCGCAACGAGCGCAACCCUUACUAUUAGUUGCUACGCAAGAGCACUCUAAUAGGACUGCCGUUGAUAAAACGGAGGAAGGUGGGGAUGACGUCAAAUCAUCAUGCCCUUUAUGACCUGGGCUACACACGUACUACAAUGGCGUUUAACAAAGAGAAGCGAAACCGCGAGGUUGAGCAAAUCCCCAAAAAACGUCUCAGUUCAGAUUGCAGGCUGCAACUCGCCUGCAUGAAGUCGGAAUUGCUAGUAAUCGUAGGUCAGCAUACUACGGUGAAUACGUUCCC